rnacentral:rRNA from 1 species
AUGCACAUCUUGAAGCAUGUGGAAAACUGUGACCAUUGCAAGGCCAAGAAGUUCCAGUACGAGACUGACGGCUUCUCCUAUCGGAACAGGGAGAUUGAGCUGGCUGAACCGGAGCCUAUCCCGAAGAUGAAGAGGUUAUGGUCUAGCAUGGAAGCAGACUCUCGGAAUUUCCGGGAGAGCAUUCGGUUCUUCAACGGGCACUUCUCCUUCACUACCCUUGGUGUCAGCCUAGACAACAACUGCACAAACAUGAAGCCCGGGGUGUACACGUUUCGGGCACAUGGCACUAUGUACCACAAGGUGCACUCAUUCGGUCCAAGAUCUCGUCCUGAACAUCUGCACUUGUACUUGUAUGACGAUGACCCCAGCUUAAGCCAUCAAAGGAGGCCACCAAGCAAUUGGACCAGUGCGUUGUCAGCAAGUUAG